ensembl:lncRNA
UACAGUUCUUCCUGGUUACCUUUCACCUAUCAUUAAAAUCUGCUGCUCCCAUAGAGUCUAGAGUGGUGUGUGGGGAGAUUUAAGGAGCAGGGUAUUCAUGCAAAGCAUUGCUUUCUUUGUUACUGUUCCCCUUUGGCCCAACUUGAAGGGAAUCUCCUCCUGGACAUGCAGACAGAGACCUGCAUCGAGGCAGGUCUGAGAUCCCCUGACACGGAUGUGAGACAGAGAAGUGGCUGGCAGGUGGAUACUGGCAGUGGGUAUGAGGCAAACUGCCUUUCCAAAACCAGACUGGACGUCUGAAGAAGACCCUGAGGUGAGGAGGAUGGGCCAGCCUUCGGGCUCUGGCCAGUGUGGGUUAUUCAAUGGGAGCGGAGGUGAGAGUCCUUAGAUGUUUUGGACUGAGGGGUUCCAGUACAUGGGAAAUGGUGGGCAGCUGGGACCCAGGAAAUGACAGUGAGGGUGGACAAAUGGGCUUCCAGAGACAUCCUACAAUUCUGGGAGAGAAGGGAGGGGUAGGUGGGGACAUACUCCCAACUUCUGUGCUGUCUUUCCUCACACACUGGUGUCCUGGGAGGUCUCACGUCCUGCCUGGCACCGUGCACGUCUGGCCUCGGAAACGGGCAGCCAAUGCGGAGGAGGUACUGUAGUUGGCUACUCGGGAUGACGGGGUAGGGAAGAGAUCCCUCCUUAGUUCUGUGGUUUUCCAAAAUCAGGAGACUGGCGGAGACCUCCCUCCUCUGAGUCUCCCCAAGGCCCUGGUAGAACAGGGGUGGGGCAGGAAGGGGGAGCCCUAUCAACUGGUCUUCUGGUCUGGGUAGAGAUCUCUCAGGCCAAAGAGGAGAGGAGGAUGUUGUGUGUCCUGAGUGACUCCCCUACUGGGGAUCAUGGAACUUUUCUGGGAGCAGCACUUCUGAAAUCUGGCUAGAACCUAGGUUUGUGUCAGAAAGUUGGGACCACGGGAAACCCCCACAACGUGAUCGAGACUACGGGGCGGGAACAGGGGAGUGGGUCGGGUGGCAGGAAUCCUGGAUUCCGUGGGCAUGGUUUGGAGAUGAGACAACCAUGGAGGGAGAGGUGUAAAUUCCAGGUUCGUAUUUGGCUGCUCUACAAUUUCUGUUCUCCUCCAGCAGACAGUGGGUGCAGGGCAAGUGGAACUAAAUAGAACAGGCUUUUUAAGUCCCUGAAUAGGAGCUUGUGUACCUUGGAGGAAGACAGAGCACACACAUUUCUCUGCCUUUCUCUUUGACUCAUCCUUAGUCCCUAGUCAUGACAGGAAACAAGUACCUUGGUUACCAUGGGAACUGAAGCUGAGUGACGCAUUGGACUGUGGGAGAAAAGCAGAGGUGGUCCUGCCAUAAAGGCCCUUGGGAGAAGAGAUUAGAGCAAAGCGCUCACAUUGAAAGAAUUCACAAUUUCCACAGGCGUGUUGAUGCCUGCGAUUAUUGUUAUUACACAGAAAACACACAGGCGCAAGCAUACACACACACACAUACGCACACACUUCAUCGUCUGCAUCACACUGGCUAGCCCACAGGAUUCUUGUGGGUGAGGCUGUGCUACGACCACUUCAAUAUGUAUCAUCACCCUCUCAUCUUUCCUCUCCCACUCCUCUCUCUCUCCUACCUGCGUUGGCUUUCAAUUUCUCCUCCCUCUGUCUCCCCCUCUCCCUUGCCUGUUCACUAACCUUCUUAAUUUCUUGUUCUGGUCCUCCAUUGUUCUGCUCUCUUUCUCUUUCUUCUUUGUCUCUAUACUUUGUUCUUCCUCUCACCCUCUCUCCUCUGCCCCUAUCCAGCUACUUAUAGAGUGACUAAGAAUUACUUCUUUCAGUUAUGAUCGGCCUAACAUGGCCCAUGUCCACUGAGCUUUCAGCUUCACAGGUCGAUGAGUCCUAAAAUUAAUCACAGACGUCAUUGUGUCAUUGCUGAUUAUGAUAAGCGAUAUGGAAUUAAAUGACGAGGAGGUGUGAGUGUGAACAAUAGCGGAGCUAGUUUCCACGGUGGGCUCAGUGAAGGAAACGUCAUUGUCGUUCGGCGUUCUGCCCUCCGGCUUCCUCU